ensembl:lncRNA
GUGGUGGUCAUCCUCACCCUACAUCACCAUCAGUAUCUCCUCCUGGAGCCUGAGGCUGCCUGGUGCUUAUCUGUCUGGCUACUACCUCAGCUGACAAACUAGGAAAGACCUGUGUUCUCAAGUGGAGGUGUUUGUUUUAGAUCUACAAUUAUAUAUUCAAUGAUGACCAGCUGUUCAAAAGUCCAAAUUUCCUCAGUCCUCUCUCGUUGGGUGGAGUUCAUCCUUAAAAGACUCCUCAAGAUGGAAGCAGGACUCCUUGACACAGGGACAGCUUGGUGACUAUAAAGUACUUGCCCACAAUGACUUUUAUUGAGUUUUUAUAAAAUAUUGUCCUGCUUUAUAUGUUCUGUUGAGUUGUAGAAGGUAAAUUAAUUUUCUCCCCAUUGUAUGCAAAUAGGCUUCUUUGAGGCAAGAGGGAGGUCUGGAACUUCAGAGGAACCUUUUUUCUUUUUCUUUAAAAUCUAUCAGUUCUAAGAGGAUAGGCUUAGAGUUGACCAUUCCAGUUAUAUUUCUCCCCGGGAUCUAGACUUUCUCUCUGAUCCUUUCUCAGCAUCUUUUCUUCAUUUUUGUUCUUUUUGAUGCUUUCAUUUCUUUAUUCAAUAUCCCUUAUAGUAUUUUUAGACAAAUAUGUUGCCCUUAUGAACAUUGUCAUUUAGCCUCUUUUUCAGAGAGUUUUCUUUUUCUUCAAUUUUUUUCCUAAUUUCUGCCAAUUCUCUCACUUUCUGUUUCCUGUCCACUUCUCUUUUGAACUGUGUAUUUCUUACACUAAGUUUUGUUUUCGUCACAUCUACAAAUGCUUUGUUAAGAACAUUUACUUCAGAUAGGGAUGUCAUUUUACAGUUUUCCCAUGUUUUGUGAUUGAUUUUGAGGGGUGUCGUUUCAUGAGCUGAAAUCUUUGACUCUCUAUUUCUGUUGUUCUCUUUUGUCACCUUGGAAUACAUGUCUGCUAGGAGAUUUCAUGUCAGUAUGCCUAGGUUUACCUGAAUGAGAAAUAAAAGUUUUAUGUGGGAAUGGAUAAGUGCUUUGAGUAGCUUAGUGGAUUUCUAGGUCUGGAUCUCUCUCUUUGACGCAAUUACUAUAAUAGAUGUAAGGUUUGGGGGAUACGUGUGGUGUGUCUUCUGAUUCUGGGAUUCCAUUUUCUUUCAGCAGGACCUUUAAUUUCUAGCUGUUGCUUCAUUCUUGCUCUUCAAUAGUAGCCUUCAAAGGAAGCUACCUUCAUCAGGGUCUCCCCCUGGCCUGGCAGAUGUGCUUCCCCAAGAUUGUCACCUCUGGUCCUCUCACUGUCGAACCCCUUCCUUUCUGUUCCCAAGCAUCCAGAGCUGUAGUCACCCAGGUCUCUGGCCUGCUCUGAGUUCAUCACACUCUCUUUCUAUGGAGAAUUUAUCUCUGUUCCCUCCUGAGCAGACCCUCCCUGCUGUCAGCUCCUCUGUUUGCAUGGACUUUACUGAUCCAUCCACUGCUGGACAUAAGCUUUCAACUCUGGGGAAACCAAAGAGCAUGAGUGAUCCUUGGAUCCUAUAGUAAGAGUUUGCUUAGUUUUGUAAGAAACAAUCAAACUCCCAAAUCCCCAAAUCCCAAAUAACUGUCUCGUUUUGCAUUCUCACCAGCACAGACUGAGAGUUCUUAUUGCUCCAUAUCUUUAUCAAUUUUUGGUGUUUAUUAUCAGUUUUUGGAUUUUAGCCAUUCUUAUAGAUGUGUAGUGAUAUCUUCUUUAGUUUGCUAUUCCAUCAUAAUGGCAUAUGAUGUUGAGUAUCCUUUUGCAUGUUUUACAUCUGUCUAUCUUCCUUGGUAAGGUGUCUAUUCAGAUCUUUUGACCAUUUUCAAAUUGGAUUGUCUGUUUUCUUGUUGAGUUUUAAGAGUUUUUAUCUUCGGGUAACAGUCCUUUAUCAGAAACAUCUUUUGCAACUAUUUUCUCUCAGCCUGUGUGUUAUUAUUUCAUUCUCUGAAAAAUAUUUUUCUCAGAAGUUUUUAAUUUUAAUGAGUCCUGCUUAUCAAAGUUUUCUGUUAUGGAUUAUAUUUUGCAUGUUAUAUCAAAAAAAUCGUCACCAUACCCAAGAUCAUCUAGAUUUUCUCCUGUGUUAUGUUCUAGAAGCUUUUAUACUUUUGUAUUUUACAUUUGAGUCUAUGAUGCAUUUUGAGUUAAUUUUGUGAAAGGUUUAAGAUCUACUUUCUAAAUUUAUUCCUUUGCAUGCGGAUGUCUAGUUGUUUCCAGCCCCAUUUGUUGAAAGGAAGGUCCUUUCACCAUUAAAUUGCCUUUGUUCUUUUGUCAAGGUUAGUUGACUGUAGUGUGAGUCUAUUUCUGGGCUCUUUAUUCUGUUCCAUUGAUCUAUUUGAAUAUCCUUUCACCAGCACCACACUGUUUUGAUUACUGAAGCUUUAUAGUAAGUUUUGAAGUCAGGUAGCACCAGUCCUUUGACUUUGUUCUUCUACAUCAAUAUUGUGUUCACUCUUCUGGUUGAUUUAUCUCUCCAUGCAAACUUUAGAAUCAGGUUGUUGAUACUCACAAAAUAACUUGCUAAGAUUUUGGUUGAGAUUGUAUUGAACCUAUAGAUAAGUGGAGAAGAGCUGCCAUAUUGACAAUAUUUAGUUUGCUCUUUUUUUUAUGGUUUCCGAAGAAGGAAGCAUAGGUGAUGGAUUUUAGAUCUUUCUCCUUUCCAAUACAUGGAUUCAGUGCUAUAAAUUUCCCUCUAAGCACUGUUUGCUGCAUCCCACAAAUUUUGAUAAGUUGUAUUUUCAUUUUUAUUUAGUUAAAAAUAUUUUAAAAUUUCCCUUUAGACUUCUUUGAUUCAUAUGUUGUUUAGAAGUAUUUUUAAUCUCCCAAUAUUUUGGAAUUUCCAACUAUCUGUCUGUUAUUAAUUUCUAGUUUAAUUCCAUUGUGGUCUUAGAACAUCCAUUGUAUAAUUCCCAUUCUUUUACAUAUCUUAAAGUGUGUUUUAUGGCCCAGAAUAUGGUCUACCUUGGUGAAUGUUCCAUGUGAGCUUGAGGAGAAUGUGUAUUCUGCUGUUGUUAAACGAAGUACUCUACAGAUGUCAGUUAUAUCAAAUUGAUUGAUUGUGUUAUUUAAUUCAAUUAUGUCCUUAUUUAUUUUCUUCCUGCUGAAUAUGUCAAUUACUGAUAGAUGGGUGUUGAAGACUCCACCGGUAACAGUGGAUUCAUCUAUUUCUUCUUGUAGUUCUAUCAAUCUUCGCUUCAUGCAUUUUGACACUCUGCUCUUAGAAGCAUACUUGUUAAGACUUGUUAUGUCUUUUUUGGAGAAUUGUCCCCUUUAUCAUUAUGUAAUGCCUCUCUUUAUCUCUUAUAAUUUUCUUUGUUCUGAAUUUAUUUUGUGUGAAAUUAAUACAGCAAAUCCAGCUUUCUUUUGAUUAAUAUGAGCACGAUAUAUCAUUCUUCAUCCCUUUACUUUUGGUCUGUGUCUUUAUAUUAAAAGCAAGUUUCUGGUAGACAACGUAUCUUAUUUUUUAGUCACUCUGAGAAUCUCUAUUUUUUAAUUCAUAUAUUUAACCAUUGACAUUUAAAGUGAUUGUUGAUAUUUUGGAUUAAUAUCUACCAUAUUUGUUACUGUUUCUAUUCAUUACCCUUUCUUUUAUUAUUUUUUGUCUUCCAUUCUUUUGUUUUUUUCUGAUUUUUAGUUGAACAUUUUAUACGAUUCCAGUUUUUCCCUCUCUUAGUAUAUCAUUUAUACCUUUUUGAAACUCGUUUUAGCAAUUGUCCUUGAGUUUGCAAUAUAAAUUUGCAAUUAAAUCCGAGUCUUCUUUCAAUAACACUAUAACCUUUCACAGGUAGUGCAAGUACCUUAUAUCAGUGUAUUCCUAAUUACUUUCUUCUGUCCCUGGCAGCAUUGCUGUCAUUCAUUGCACUUAUCCAUAAGCUAUAAUCACUGAUUAAUACAUUGCUGCUAUUAGUAUUUGAGCAAAUUGUUGCAUAGUAAAUCAUCUAAGAAUGAGAAAAAUUAAAGAUUUAAUUUUGUCUUCAUUUAUUCCUUCUCUCAUGUACUUCCUUUCCUUUCGUAGACUUGAGUCUCUGACUUUUAUAUUUUUCUUCUUCCUGAAGUAUCUCUUUUAACAUUUCUUGCAAGGCAGGUCUACUGGUAACAAAUUCCUCAUUUUUUGCUUCUCUGAGAAAGUCUUUGUUUCUCUUUCCCAUCGGAAAAAUAAUUUUGCUGAAUACAGAAUUCUAGGUUGGUAUUGCUUUAUCUUCUUCUUCUUUUUUAAACACUUUAAAUAUUUCAUUCUCUUCUUGCUUGCAUGGUUUCUGAACUGAAGUCUGAUGUAAUUCUUAUCCUUGCUUCUCUACAAGUAAGGUGUUUUUUCUUUGAAUUUUCUCUUUGUUAUUGAUUUUCUGCAGUUUGAAUAUGAUAUGUGUAGAUGUAGAGUUUUUGGUAUUUAUCCUGCUCAGUGUUCUCUGAGAAACUUAGAUCUGUAAUUUGUUUUCGUCAAUUUGGGAGAAAUUUUCAGUCAUUAUUACUUCAAAUGCUUCUUAUUUUCUUUUCUUUCUUUUCCUUCUGGUAUGCCAAUUAUGUGUGUUACACCUUUUGUAAAUGUCCUACAAUUCUGGGAUAUUUUGUUUUACCUUUUUCAUUGUUUUUCCCUUUGAAUUUCAGUUUUGGAAGUUUCUAUUGACAUUAUUUUAAGCUCACAGAUUCUUUCCUCAGCUAGGUCCAGGCUACUAAUGGCGCCAUCAAAGGUAUGAUUCAUUUCUGUUAUAGUGCUUUUGACUUCUAAUAUUUCCUUUUGAUUCUUUCUUAAAGUUUCCAUCUUUCUGCUUAUAUUACAUUGUCUUUUUUUGUAUAUUCUACACGUUUUCCAUUAAAGCCCUUAGUAUAUUAAUCAUGGUUAUUUUAAUUUCUCAGACUAAUAAUUCCAACAUCUCUGACAUAUCUGAGUUUGCUUCUGAUGCUUGCUCUCUCUGUCUCUUCAAACUUUGUCUUUUGUCUUUAGUAUGUCUUGCAAUUUUUUUUGAAAGCUGGACAUGAUGUACUGGAUUAAAAAAAUAAGGCACGCAGGCCUUUACUGUAAGGUUUUAUGUUUAUCUGGCUAGGUAUUGGGCUGUGCUUAUUGUUUGCUGUAACUGUAGCUGUCACGGGCUAAAAUUUUUCUUUGUUUUUGUCUCUCCAGUUGUCUUUGGGCUUCUCUUGAAACUUUUUCUUAAAUAAGGUGUGAGACAUAUAGUUCGUUCAUUUGCAUUCCCAUGUUAUUAUAUAGGAGCCCUGUUAAUGUGGUGUAAGGUGUGAGGAUGAAGAGUCCAAUGGUUCUAUGAUUAGGCUUUAUUCCUUUGGUGAGCUUAGGGCCCUGAGCUGUGACUGUCACAAGUGCUUUUCAGUUCCCUCUCCCACCUUAGGUGUGACAGGAAAGCUAGAGAGGGCUGGAGUUGGGUAUUUCUCUUCCUCCACGUCUUUUAGAUAAAAUCCCAGUUGGUUAGAAUCUGGUGAAAUAGUUAUUUUUGAGAUUAGGUCGUGUUAAGAAGAAUAAAAUGUUCUGAACACAUCUCAAAAUGGCAACUUACUCCUUUCCCUUCUGGAAACAUGAGGGGAUUUUUCUUGCAAUCUUCACUGUGAGAACCUGGUAGGUCUCCUGGAGAUAAAACUCACAAAAACCUGUAGGUGCACCUGAGACUAGGCACUCUUUAGUUUUAAAUCCUCAGACUUGUCCACACUGAACUUCCAGUAACUCAUCAAUUAGAAUUUUGAUUUUCCUGCCCUGGUGCUGGUUCUCAGGAGGUUUUUCCUUGUAGGUUUUGGCUCUGCUAAGUUCAGAUUCUUCAUAUCUGCCUAUGUGUGUCUCUACUUUUUUAGGGUAGUAGUUUGCCCUGUGUUCUCAAUUCUACGAUGGAUCCAAGAACAGUUGUUGGUUUGCAGUUUGUUCAGCUUUUUUCUUAUUUUGUAGUGGAUGACUUCUAAGCUCUUUACACACCAAUUCCG